GCCUCACCCAGCCCACAGGAAGUAAAAGUGGGGGCAGAGGAGGGCCCUUGGAUGAAGGUCGAGCUCUGUUCUGGGAAUAGUGGGAAUAUCCUUGAGGCAUUCAUCUCCCAUAGACAGUGAAACUCUCCUUGCCUAUGGAAGGAUAUGACAAACGUGAAGAUUUUGCUUUUAAAUGCUGAAGUUUCCAUUUAAUUUUUGCAUCACAUCUUUAGCACUAUUGGACAUCCUAGAAACCUCAUUCACAAGAUUUCAAGUUUGAAGUGAUAGUGUUUGCUACCAGAGCCCCUUUUCUGUCAAAGAAAUUAGAAGCAGGAAGGUUGAUGCAUUCCCCCACAGAAAGAAAAGAGGUCUUUUAGAAUAAUGUGAAACUCACACUCUGCAUGGGGACAGAGCCACUUCCACUUGCUCCAGGCCACAGAGUUCUCUCUCCCGUGACAGUUUCCUUCCUGUGCAAUAGUAUCGCCUCUGGAACUUCCUCACCUGCCACCUGGUGCUGCUACAUGUCCACGAUGACCAAAGUCAUUAAAACUUCGUAAAAAGCCUGCUUUAGUGAAGAGCUUCUGGCGACGGCCUUUGAAUCUGUGCCCCUGAGGGCUCCAGGGCAGGACUCCAACUGGUGGUGUAAGACUUGCUGUCCUGAUGUGGGUGGCAGUUGCUAGAAGAGGGACUGUUUCAUUUCAUUAGCAGUGAAGUGUGCUGUCAGCCGGCAGUGAUAGCCAUGGGACAAGAUGCAACCCAAUCUGACUCUGAAACAUCCUGUCCUAGCCACCGCUGAGCUCUUCCCCCUUAGGGGGUCGCCAGAAGAGUAUUGAUUGGACAAGGAGAGAGAGCCCUCUUGAAGAGGAAUGGUGCUAAAGUCAACCUGAAGCCUUCUGAAAAUUCAGCGGCCCUAGAACUGCCCCAAAUGCUAUUUACUGCAAAGCAGAAUUCUGUAUCCAGAGGGGUUGUCCUGGACUCCACUCAAGAGGUUUAGCUUUUAAAGAGCCUAAAGGAUUCCUGGCUUAUCUGUUGGUUGGGCUCACAUAUUUUCCCACCGAUAGACAAGAGAUUACCAGAAAAGGGGUGAGGAAUCCAGAGAGAAUGUCUGCAUAAGAAGGAGGGUGGAGAUUUCUUACUGAACUAAAGGCUUCAAGAAUUGGCAAAUACCUGCUCAAUGUUUUUCCAGACUUUUGUAUUUCUGAUGACUGGAUGACUCCACCUGGACCCGAGACUCAUGACUCACCCAGUCCUGUGGCCCCACCCAGAAGUGGACUCAGAGCAAGAGGACCAUUUUCCACACCCCAAUGAGUGCAUCCCCAACCAAUCAGCAGCACCUGUUCCCUAGCCCCCUGACCACCAAACUCUCCUUGAGAAACCGUAGCCUCCAAAUUUUCUGGGAGGCUGAUUUGAGUAAUAAUAAAACUUUGGUCUCCUA